rnacentral:lncRNA from 1 species
GGGCUUCAGAGGAGCUUCAAAGACCCCUGACACUUGUUGGGCCCAAAGGCCUUUUACUUCAGACCUUAGUGCUAAUUGAAUUUAUAUCUGGCUCAGUUCCAGGUUUUAAUGGUGUCCUCGGGUCUCUGCUGUUCGUUGGCUAGAACACCCUCCGUAUAGCUUGGAAAAAUAAAACCUUGGAAGCAGUAAUCUCUCCAGUUCAUUUUGGUCAAAAUUAGGUUGUAGGUUUGAUCUGGAGUGAAGGUUAUGUUGUGGAGGGUAGUAUCCUGUAUAUGUUCUGGUGACAUAGUGAAGGUUAUGUUGUAGAGGGUAGUAUCCUGUAUAUGUCCUGGUGACAUAGUGAAGGUUAUGUUGUGGAGGGUAGUAUCCUGUAUAUGUCCUGGUGACAUAGUGGAGGUUAUGUUGUGGAGGGUAGUAUCCUGUAUAUGUCCUGGUGACAUAGUGAAGGUUAUGUUGUGGAGGGUAGUAUCCUGUAUAUGUCCUGGUGACAUAGUGAAGGUUAUGCUGUGGAGGGUAGUAUCCUGUAUAUGUCCUGGUGACAUAGUGAAGGUUAUGUUGUGGAGGGUAGUAUCCUGUAUAUGUCCUGGUGACAUAGUGAAGGUUAUGUUGUGGAGGGUAGUAUCCUGUAUAUGUCCUGGUGACAUAGUGAAGGUUAUGCUGUGGAGGGUAGUAUUCUGUAUAUGUCCUGGUGACAUAGUGAAAGUUAUGUUGUGGAGGGUAGUAUCCUGUAUAUGUCAUGGUGACAUAGUGAAGGUUAUGUUGUAGAGGGUAGUAUCCUGUAUAUGUCCUGGUGACAUAGUGUUGUGGAGGGUAGUAACCUGUAUAUGUCCUGGUGACAUAGUGUUGUAGAGGGUAGUAUCCUGUAUAUGUCCUGGUGACAUAGUGAAGGUUAUGUUGUGGAGGGUAGUAUCCUGUAUAUGUCCUGGUGACAUAGUGGAGGUUAUGUUGUGGAGGGUAGUAUCCUGUAUAUGUCCUGGUGACAUAGUGAAGGUUAUGUUGUGGAGGGUAGUAUCCUGUAUAUGUCCUGGUGACAUAGUGGAGGUUAUGUUGUGGAGGGUAGUAUCCUGUAUAUGUCCUGGUGACAUAGUGGAGGUUAUGUUGUGGAGGGUAGUAUCCUGUAUGUGUCCCUGCCGAAAAAUCCAAGUUUCUCU